UCCCAGUCAGAAUACACCAUGCAAACACUAAUCAAAAGAAAGCAUGAAGAGCCAGCAAUGGUGAACCCACUGGGAUAACUGUGAGAGAAGAUAAAAAUUUGUUCCAUAAGGAAGUGUAUGAGGUAC